AGAGUUUGAUCAUGGCUCAGGACGAACGCUGGCGGCGUGGAUUAGGCAUGCAAGUCGCGCGACGGUAUUCCUUCGGGGAUAUACGGAGCGGCGAACGGGUGAGUAACACGUGAACAAUCUGUCCCUACAUUCCGGAUAAUUGGCCGAAAGGCCUUGUAAUACGGGGGAGGACGGUGGUGAGGCAUCUCACUAUCGGGGAAGGCGCAAGCCGUGCAGGGAGGAGUUCGCGGCCUAUCAGCUUGUUGGUGGGGUAAUGGCCUACCAAGGCGACGACGGGUAGCUGGUCUGAGAGGAUGGUCAGCCACAUUGGAACUGAGACACUGUCCAGACUCCUACGGGAGGCUGCAGUCGAGAAUCUUGGUCAAUGCACGAAAGUGUGAACCAGCGACGCCGCGUGAAGGAUGAAGGACCUCUGGUUCGUAAACUUCUUUUAGGGGGGAAGAAUGGGCUUAUGCCUUUGACGGUACCCCCUGAAUAAGCCACGGCUAACUACGUGCCAGCAGCCGCGGUAAUACGUAGGUGGCAAGCGUUGUCCGGAUUUACUGGGCGUAAAGCGUAUGCAGGCGGAUACUUAAGUAGGAAGUGAAAGGUGGGAGCUCAACUCCCACAUUGCUCCCUAUACUGGGUGUCUUGAGUGGCGGAGAGGGAGAUGGAACGACACGUGUAGCGGUGAAAUGCGUUGAUAUGUGUCGGAACACCAAUGGCGAAAGCAAUCUCCUGGACGCAAACUGACGCUGAGAUACGAAAGCCAAGGUAGCAAACAGGAUUAGAUACCCCAGUAGUCC
rnacentral:rRNA from 1 species